UUAAGGAAAACAAUUUGCAUUUUAUUUUAGAAAUUCAUGGUUUAGGUUAAACCAUCAUAGUAAUAAACAAAUUAAUUCCAAACCCAAAACCAAAGCCAAACAGUUUAAAAGAAUCUAGAGAGUCCUAGAAAAUACAACCUCUCAAAACUCAAUGCCAAAACUUAAAUAAAACAGUAAAACAAAAUUAAAUAGUAAUAGGAAGUGGUCACUAUCGAGUCCUCCGCUGCACCGAUCCGUCUAACUCUAUGGAUUACCUGUACAGAACAAAUAGAGAAGGGGUGAGUUUACGUAAACCUUAGUGUGUAACCCGCAGAAUUAGACAUGUACACAUACAAAAAUUCAAAACCAUACAAACAUAGAUUCGGGCCUAAGCCCAUUUUAGAUUCAGACAUGGAUGUGCAAAUCAGAAUCAGAAAUUAGAUUUCUACCCCUAUCCUCUACACACCAUAUCCGUCCAUCCCUACACACCAUGUGGGAUUUGAAAUACCCACCCAGCCCUACAUAUCAUAUUUUACCGAUGCGGUACAUAACAGAUAUGAUGUAGCAAUGCUGCUAGAUAAUAGCCAUAAAUUGCCUUUCUGUAGCACCCCAAACCCGGCCCAGAAGUUAUGGCCGGAUCCGGCAUGCCACAUCAAAAACGUUAAAAAAAAAUUUCCAUUCUAAGUCCAGAAAGUCGUACUUGAUGUUCAAAAGAUUAAUUCAUUAAGGAUUAAAGUGAAUGGAAGCUGUGCACCAGGUAGGAAACUGGAAAAGAGGUGGUGAGUCCAUCGGACUGCUUAAGUACCAAGCUCCCUUCGGAUCCAAUCCUAGACAUGCAUACCGCCAUUGCCACACCUUAACGUCAUGGAUAUUUCUAGGAAACCGAUUUGAUUAAGUCAUUUUUAGGAAAAGUGAUUAAUUUUGGAAAAUACUUUCAUUGCGGAAGCUUUGCUUGUUGUCGUGUUAUUUUGAAAUAAACUAUUGUUUUUGAAAACGUGCCCUAAAGCUAUCCAAUUUCAACAGUUAAAAUAAGUAUUACCUAUCUUAGUAAUACAUAUUAAAACCAUAAAAAAUAGUUAAGCGGCCUUAUUACAUUUAAAAACCCAAAACUUCAAUCGUAAAUAAAAGGAUGUCCAGUUCACCAGAAGAAAAUCAAACUUUCAGAACGAGUGGCCACUCCGAAUUCUCUCACAGCUCCAAGCCCACUAUGGUUGGGGAUUUCCUGCGUGGAUGAAAAUAAAAGGGGUGAGUUUGGGGAAACUCAGUGUGUAAAUUAACCCAACCAUAGCCUAUAUCAGCUCAAACCACAGAAAUAGAAUAAGUUGGCCUUAGCCCAGAACAGAAUUCAGAAUAAAGCCCAUAGGCCCAUAACAGAACAGAACAGAUAUUACAUGUUUAUGCAGAAACCCAACCAUAUCCAACCGUAUACACCCCCGUACCAACCUUACACCAUGUGGGGAGACAACUCGACCCACCCAACCGCUACACACCACAGAAUUUGUAGCAUGGCUGCCAGAACAGAUAAUGUGACAGAGUCACCAGAUACAGAUAAUCGUGGCAAAGCCACCAGAACAGAUAUAUGUGGCAGAGCCACCAGAUCAGAUAUUUGUGGCAGAGCCACCAGAUCAGAUAUUUGUGGCAUAGACACCAGAACGCUUCCUCCAUAAUAUAACCCAUGUCCCCAUGCAACAGAUAUAUAAUCAUGGCAUACAUCAUACAGAAUCAGAUCGUCAUGCUUUUCAGUCAAAAUUAACCCUAGGGGUAUAACGGUAAUUUUGCACCUAGGGGUAUAACAGUAAUUUUCCAUACAUAGGGGUAUUAUAGUAAUUUAGCUACUUUUAGGGUUUUCAUGCAUAUCCUAACUAUUUAUGUACUAUCAGAACACUUACCGCGCAUACUUACCGAAUUGGGCCCGUUGGCCUAUGAACCCGAUCUUUUGCCCAUUAAGCCCAAAUUAUCAAAAUGUACGAAAUCGCGCGUACUGCAGUUUAUUACUUUAGAUUACCAAAUAUACAAACCCAACUAUCUUACAAGCAUUCGCACACUCGCAAAUUCCCAAAAUACCGACUUUUCGGCAUUUCGGCUUUUCGGCUUUUGCCAAUCUAGUCUAUGAGAGGGUGUCAGUUACACACCUAUUUGCGACGAUAUGCUGACGAGAUCCACACACGAACCGCCUACAAUUGGAUUACUAACACGUUAAUCUAACUAUUCAAAUACAAACUACGUAUUAACCCCUUACAAUAUUCGGCCAACCACACCUACAGAUCAUAGUAAGCUUAUAAGAAAUCAAUAAGCAACUCAUUAACAAAUUUUGUCAAUGUUUACCACAUAAUCAUAAUUUCACUGCAAGCUGUCUUCCUGAGCAACAGUCACUAAAUUAUUUAUAACUGGAGCUACGAAAUUCCAAAUCAAGUGCCGUUAAUUUUCCCUGAAAAUAGACUCAUAUAUAUUCUAUCCAUAAAAUUUUCAGAAUUUUUUGUUUAGCCAAUAAAUACCAGAUUUUUCUCAAAGUUUCCCAUGUUUCACUGUUUGACUAAUCUGACCACCCUUCAUUACGAAUCAAAUUUCUCAUUUUACAGAAUUCAAAAUAUGUUCUUGUUUAUUUCAUUAGAAACUAGACUCAAUAAGCUUUAAUUACAUAAUUUAUUCAGCUUCUAACUCAUCUUCCACAAUUUAUGGUGAUUUUCCAAAGUCACGUUACUGCUACUGUCCCAAGCAGAUUUAUUACCAAAUCACUCUUUCACACCUAACUUGCAUGCUUGUUAUUUAAACAUGUAUAUCACCAAUCAAUCAUCAGAUAUCUAUGAUUUUACUUAAGUAUAAUCUCCAUUUCAUCAUUUUAAAGCACAACAUGUUAGCUGAUUUUUCCCUUUAACAUCUAAGGCACAUGCAUGCUUAUUUGUUUGGCUCAACUUCACCUAUCUUCCAUUCUUCAUCAAAAGAACAUGAAACAACAACCAUUUCCUUCAUUUUAAUUCAUGACUAAAUGCUCACAACACAACUAAAAAUCAAAAUAUACUUCAACAGUUAAGGUAGAAUCAAGAAGAACUCAUGAACCUCAAAAUAGAAGCAAGGUACCAAGAACUAUUACCUUCAAUAUUCCUCCUCCUAAUGACCAAAUACUCAAGAGCUUUCUCCUCUCCUUUCUCUUCUCUAACUUUCAGCUAUGAUGAACAAAGAUGGACAAAACUUUGUUCUUUUCACCCCUUUUUCUUUUAAUAAAACUUCAUAUUUCAUCCAUUUAAUUCUUUAAUACAAAAGACAUGAAAUUCUUAUCAUGAAACAUUUACCUAACCCAUUAUCAUGGAACAUUUACCUAACCUAUUAUCAUGAAACAUUUACCUAACCCAUUAUCAUGGAACAUUUACCUAACCUAUUAUAAAGGAACAUUUACCUAACCUAUUAUCAAUUUGUAUCAAUUUGUACCAUAAAUUAUGGAUAUCAAGUGUACAUUUUGUCUAUAACAACAUGAUGGCUGGCCACUUCAUGUAAAAUGGGAGGUUUGUCAUGCAAAUCCUCCUAUUUUGCACUCCUAUUUAUUUGGCCACUUCAAUUUAGCCUAUAGCAUUUUCAAACAUUUUCACAUAGGUCCUAUUUCAUAAUUUCACCCCUUUUUUCUUAUGGAACAAAAAUUAACUAAAAUUGACGGGUUCUAUCUUAAGUUUGGGCUUUCUAGAGGCCCACUAACAUAAUUAAACCUAUGCCAACAUUCACAGAAUUCCCGAAAAUUGGGGCGUUACAACUCUACCCUCCUUAAAGAAAUUUCGUCCUCGAAAUUUACCUAAUCCAAACAAAUGAGGGUAUUGCUAUUGCAUCGUCUCUUCUGGCUCCCAAACUCAGAAGUUUCCCCUUUCUUAACUUGUUGAAAACGAGCGACCAAAGACUCAUCGUUCAACUGUUUUUCCUUAAUCUGAUCCACCCAGGUUGGCCUCACUUGCAACUCAGCCAACAGAUUUCCAUCACCAUAUAGACUCAGGCGAGCAAACAUUGCUCUCAGAUCAGAUACAGCUCUACAACUUAGAGCAUCGGCUACCACAUUAGCCUUGCCUGGGUGAUACUCGAUCGAACAGUCAUAAUCCUUAAGCAACUCAAUCCAUCUCCUUUGCCUAAGGUUCAGCUCCUUCUGAGUCAACAAAUACUUAAGACUCUUGUGGUCUGUGUAUAUAAUACACCUUUCUCCGUACAAGUAAUGUCUCCAAAUCUUAAGUGCAAAUAUCACUGCUGCCAACUCUAAAUCAUGAGUCAAAUAGUUUCCCUCAUGAGGCUUAAGCUAUCGUGAUGCAUAUGCAACCACCUUACCCUCUUGCAUUAACACUCAACCCAAACCCACGUGUGAUGCGUCACUGUACACAGUAAAAUCAUUCCCAAACUCUGGCUGAAUUAACAAAAGUGCUUCAGUGAGAACUUUCUUCAACUUCUCAAAAGCUUCCUGUUGUUUCUUAGUCCAUACAAACGGUACUCCUUUCCUUUUGUGUUUUGUCAGAGGUGCUGUCAUCACAGAAAAACCUUCCAUAAACCUUCUGUAGUAUCAUGCCAGUCCUAGAAAACUCCGUAUUUCUGAAACUGACCUAGGCGGCUUCCACUCCAAAAUCGCUUAAAUUUUCCGAGGGUCCACCUUAAUCCCUUCAGCAAAGACCACAUGUCCUAAGAAGGUUACCUCCCUCAACCAAAGUUCAGACUUGCUGAACUUCACAAAGAGUUCCUUCACCCUUAAUACUUACAGCACUAUACGGAGAUGCUCAUCAUGUUUCGUUUCAGUUUCAGAAUAUACCAGGAUAUCGUCAAUAAAGACGACUACGAACUGAUCCAAAAAUGGUUGGAACACACGAUUCAUCAGAUCCAUAAAUGCUGCAGGAGCGUUCGUCAGUCCAAAUGGCAUAACCAGAAACUCGUAAUGACCAUACCGAGUCCUGAAUGUCGUCUUUUGGAUAUCUGCCUCCUUGACCCUUAACUGAUGAUAUCCAGAUCGAAGGUCGAUCUUGGAAAAUAUAGAAGCUCCUCUAAGCUGGUCGAAUAGAUCGUCAAUCCUUGGAAGUUGAUACUUAUUCUUAAUCGUCAGUUUGUUCAACUGGCGAUAAUCAAUGCACAUCCGCAUCGUACCAUCCUUCUUUUUCAUGAAUAGCACUGGUGCUCCCCAUAGAGACACGAUUGGCCUAAUAAAGCCCGUAUCCAACAACUCUUGAAUUUGAGCAUUUAACUCUACUAACUCCUUCGGUGCCAUCCUAUACGGUGCGAUAGACACAGGCACCAUUCCAGGCAACAAGUCUAUUCCAAACUCAACUUCUCAAUUGGGAGGCAAUCCUGGAAGCUCCUCCGAAAAAACAUCUUGGAACUCCUUUACGGUCCUAACCUUAUCCACUGUCAGUCCCUCCUCUUCCGACUGACUUAAAAAUACCAAUUAGGCCUCACAACUUUUCCGAAUCCACUUUUCGGCUCUUAAUGUCGACACCACAUUGGACAAAUAAUCCCUUCUCUCACCUAUCACCAUAACCUCCUCAUCCUUUGUAGUUCUUAACACUAUUUGUUUAGCAGCACAAUCCAGAGUCGCCUUAUGCUUAACAAGCCAAUCCAUUCCCAGAAUGAGGUAAACUCUCCGAACGGUAACUCCAUUAGAUAUCCAGGAAAAACCUUUCCUUAAGUUUCAAAGGGUACAUUCCUAUACAGUUUGUCUACCCUAACCGAGUGACCCAAAGGACUUAGUACAGAUACCCCACUUACAAUCUCCUCAGAGCAGUGCAAGUCAUCCAUAAUCCGUUCUGUGGCCUCCAACCAAUAUUCCGCCACAUUCGGGGCUAUACCAAACACGCUCCUAAAGAUCUCCGUUCCGUUAGUCCCGAAGUCAUUCAGAAAUAGAUCCCUGAAUUUUGUUGCUCGAACUUGCUCCGGCAACCCUUUCCAGAACACGAAGCAUUGCAUGUGACAGGGCAACAUCCUCGGCACCAUGGUCAUGAGACUCUACCUCUGUUGCCGGUGGUACCGGUGCAUCCACCGCCGGCAUAAGUCUCAAAGACGAAGAUCUCGCUCGAGCACUUCCUCGACUACGUCCACGGCCUCUUGUACUCAUAUCAUAUUAUCUUGAUUACAAAUUUUUAUGCAUCAAUUAAUAUUCCAGUGUUUAUUACAGAUGUUUUAUGAAUCAGACAGUAGUUCAGAGUUUGUUUUCGCAGAAUUGAAGUCUAGCUACAGUUUCAGUCUCUUAUCAGAUUUUCCUAUGGUUUCAGUAUCAUCCUAUCUAGAGUAUCCUAAUAGGGUUUCAGUACAGAUAGAUAAUUCAGGAAAAUAUUCAGAAAAGUUCAGAGUAAUACUUACAGGCUUGAGCUGGAGAUUCGGAAUGCCACCUUCUAAAGAUCUAAAUUUUGAAAACUGCGUUUUUCGCAAUCUUUAUAAAAUUUUUGUUUUCGAAGAUCUAAAUUUUGUAAACCCAUUCCACAGCCGAGCUGUUGUAAUCUAGGCUCUGAUACCACUAAAUGUAGCACCCCAAACCCGGCCCAGAAGUUAUGGCCGGAUCCGGCAUGCCAUAUCAAAAACGUUAAAAAAAAUUUCCAUUCUAAGUCCAAAAAAUCGUACUUGAUGUUCAAAAGAUUAAUUCAUUAAGGAUUAAAGUGAAUGGAAGCUGUGCACCAGGUAGGAAACCGGAAAAGAGGUGGUGAGUCCAUCGGACUGCUUAAGUACCAAGCUCCCUUCGGAUCCAAUCCUAGACAUGCAUACCGCCAUUGCCAUACCUUAACGUCAUGGAUAUUUCUAGGAAACCGAUUUGAUUAAGUCAUUUUUAGGAAAAGUGAUUAAUUUUGGAAAAUACUUUCAUUGCAGAAGCUUUGCUUGUUGUCGUGUUAUUUUGAAAUCAACUGUUGUUUUUGAAAACGCGCCCUAAAGCUAUCCAAUAUCAACAGUUAAAAUAAGUAUUACCUAUCUUAGUAAUACAUAUUAAAACCAUCAAAAAUAGUUAAGCGGCCUUAUUACAUUUAAAAACCCAAAACUUCAAUCGUAAAUAAAAGGAUGUCUAGUUCACUAGAAGAAAAUCAAACUUUCAGAACGGGUGGCCACUCCGAAUUCCCUCACAGCUCCAAGCCCACUAUGGUUGGGGAUUUCCUGCGUGGAUGAAAAUAAAAAGGGUGAGUUUGGGGAAACUCAGUGUGUAAAUUAACCCAACCAUAGCCUAUAUCAGCUCAAACCACAGAAAUAGAAUAAGUUGGCCUUAGCCCAGAACAGAAUUCAGAAUAAAGCCCAUAGGCCCAUAACAGAACAGAACAGAUAUUACAUGUUUAUUCAAAAACCCAACCAUAUCCAACCGUAUACACCCCGUACCAACCUUACACCAUGUGGGGAGACAACUCGACCCACCCAACCGCUACAUACCACAAAAUUUGCAGCAUGGCUGCCAGAACAGAUAAUGUGACAGAUUCACCAGAUACAGAUAAUCGUGGCAGAGCCACCAGAACAGAUAUUUGUGGCAGAGCCACCAGAUCAGAUAUUUGUGGCAUAGCCACCAGAACGCUUCCUCCAUAAUAUAACCCAUGUCCCCAUGCAACAGAUAUAUAAUCAUGGCAUACAUCAUACAGAAUCAGAUCGUCAUGCUUUUCAGUCAAAAUUAACCCUAGGGGUAUAACAGUAAUUUUGCACCUAGGGGUAUAAUAGUAAUUUUCCAUACAUAGGGGUAUUAUAGUAAUUUAGCUACUUUUAGGGUUUUCAUGCAUAUCCUCACUAUUUACGUACUAUCAGAACACUUACCGCGCAUACUUACCAAAUUGGACCUGUUGGCCCAUGAACCCGAUCUUUGGCCCAUGAACCCGAUCUUUGGCCCAUUAAGCCCAAAUUAUCAAAAUGUACGAAAUCGCGCGUACUGCAGUUUAUUACUUUAGAUUACCAAAUAUACAAACCCAACUAUCUUACAAGCAUUCGCACACUCGAAAAUUCCCAAAAUACCGACUUUUCGGCAUUUCGGCUUUUCGGCUUUUGCCAAUCUAGUCUAUGAGAGGGUGUCAGUUACACACCUAUUUGCGACGAUAUGCUGACGAGAUCCACACACGAACCGCCUACAAUUGGAUUACUAACACGUUAAUCUAACUAUUCAAAUACAAACUACGUAUUAACCCCUUACAAUAUUCGGCCAACCACACCUACAGAUCAUAGUAAGCUUAUAAGAAAUCAAUAAGCAACUCAUUAACAAAUUUUGUCAAUGUUUACCACAUAAUCAUAAUUUCACUGCAAGCUGUCUUCCUGAGCAACAGUCACUAAAUUAUUUAUAACUGGAGCUACGAAAUUCCAAAUCAAGUGCCGUUAAUUUUCCCUGAAAAUAGACUCAUAUAUAUUCUAUCCAUAAAAUUUUCAGAAUUUUUUGUUUAGCCAAUAAAUACCAGAUUUUUCUCAAAGUUUCCCAUGUUUCACUGUUUAACUAAUCUGACCACCCUUCAUUACGAAUCAAAUUUCUCAUUUUACAGAAUUCAAAAUAUGUUCUUGUUUAUUUCAUUAGAAACUAGACUCAAUAAACUUUAAUUACAUAAUUUAUUCAGCUUCUAACUCAUCUUCCACAAUUUAUGGUGAUUUUCCAAAGUCACGUUACUGCUACUGUCCCAAGCAGAUUUAUUACCAAAUCACUCUUUCACACCUAACUUGCAUGCUUGUUAUUUAAACAUGUAUAUCACCAAUCAAUCAUCAGAUAUCUAUGAUUUUACUUAAGUAUAAUCUCCAUUUCAUCAUUUUAAAGCACAACAUGUUAGCUGAUUUUUCCCUUUAACAUCUAAGGCACAUGCAUGCUUAUUUGUUUGGCUCAACUUCACCUAUCUUCCAUUCUUCAUCAAAAGAACAUGAAACAACAACCAUUUCCUUCAUUUUAAUUCAUGACUAAAUGCUCACAACACAACUAAAAAUCAAAAUAUACUUCAACAGUUAAGGUAGAAUCAAGAAGAACUCAUGAACCUCAAAAUAGAAGCAAGGUACCAAGAACUAUUACCUUCAAUAUUCCUCCUCCUAAUGACCAAAUACUCAAGAGCUUUCUCCUCUCCUUUCUCUUCUCUAACUUUCAGCUAUGAUGAACAAAGAUGGACAAAACUUUGUUCUUUUCACCCCUUUUUCUUUUAAUAAAAC
rnacentral:lncRNA from 1 species